rnacentral:rRNA from 1 species
UACGAAGGGGGCGAGCGUUGUUCGGAAUUACUGGGCGUAAAGGGCGCGCAGGCGGCUCUUCAAGUCAGGCGUGAAAGCCCCGGGCUUAACCUGGGAAUUGCGCUUGGGACUGGAGGGCUUGAGUACGGGAGAGGAGAGUGGAAUUCCCAGUGUAGAGGUGAAAUUCGUAGAUAUCGGGAGGAACACCAGUGGCGAAGGCGGCGACCUGGACGGACACUGACGCCGAGACGCGAAAGCGUGGGGAGCAAACAGG